GACGAACCGUGCGAACGUUGUUCGGAAUCACUGGGCUUAAAGGGCGCGUAGGCGGGCGGUCAAGUCGAGGGUGAAAGCCUCCAGCUCAACUGGAGAAGUGCCUCCGAUACUGGCCGCCUCGAGGGAGAUAGGGGCGUGCGGAACUUCCGGUGGAGCGGUGAAAUGCGUAGAUAUCGGAAGGAACACCGGUGGCGAAAGCGGCGCGCUGGAUCUCUUCUGACGCUGAGGCGCGAAAGCCAGGGGAGCGAACGGG
rnacentral:rRNA from 1 species